AGAAUCAACGCUGGCGGCGUGCCUAACACAUGCAAGUCGAACGAGAAAGUGGGAGCAAUCCCACGAGUAAAGUGGCGCACGGGUGAGUAACACGUGACUAACCUACCCUUGAGUGGGGGAUAACCUAGGGAAACCUGGGCUAAUACCGCAUAAUACCUUCGGGUCAAAGGAGCAAUUCGCUUAAGGAGGGGGUCGCGGCCGAUUAGUUAGUUGGCGGGGUAAUGGCCCACCAAGACUAUGAUCGGUAU
rnacentral:rRNA from 1 species